AUUGAACGCUGGCGGCAUGCUUUACACAUGCAAGUCGAACGGUAACAGGCCGCAAGGUGCUGACGAGUGGCGAACGGGUGAGUAAUGCAUCGGAACGUGCCCAGUCGUGGGGGAUAACGCCGCGAAAGCUGUGCUAAUACCGCAUACGAUCUAUGGAUGAAAGCGGGGGACCGUAAGGCCUCGCGCGAUUGGAGCGGCCGAUGUCAGAUUAGGUAGUUGGUGGGGUAAAGGCUCACCAAGCCAACGAUCUGUAGCUGGUCUGAGAGGACGACCAGCCACACUGGGACUGAGACACGGCCCAGACUCCUACGGGAGGCAGCAGUGGGGAAUUUUGGACAAUGGGCGCAAGCCUGAUCCAGCAAUGCCGCGUGCAGGAAGAAGGCCCUCGGGUUGUAAACUGCUUUUGUACGGAACGAAAAGGUUUGGGUUAAUACCCUGGGCCGAUGACGGUACCGUAAGAAUAAGCACCGGCUAACUACGUGCCAGCAGCCGCCGUAA
rnacentral:rRNA from 1 species